GACGAACGCUGGCGGCGUGCUUAACACAUGCCAGUCGAACGGAGAGGCCCUGCUUUUGUGGGGCGCUCGAGUGGCGAACGGGUGAGUAACACGUGAGUAACCUGCCCUUGACUUUGGGAUAACUUCAGGAAACUGGGGCUAAUACCGGAUAGGAGCUCCUGCUGCAUGGUGGGGGUUGGAAAGUUUCGGCGGUUGGGGAUGGACUCGCGGCUUAUCAGCUUGUUGGUGGGGUAGUGGCUUACCAAGGCUUUGACGGGUAGCCGGCCUGAGAGGGUGACCGGCCACAUUGGGACUGAGAUACGGCCCAGACUCCUACGGGAGGCAGCAGUGGGGAAUAUUGCACAAUGGGCGGAAGCCUGAUGCAGCAACGCCGCGUGCGGGAUGACGGCCUUCGGGUUGUAAACCGCUUUCGCCUGUGACGAAGCGUGAGUGACGGUAAUGGGUAAAGAAGCACCGGCUAACUACGUG
rnacentral:rRNA from 1 species